UAUGAAGGUCAGGCUGAAGACCUUACCCGAUUAGCUGAGAGGUGGUGCAUGGCCGUCGUCAGUUUCGUACUGUGAAGCAUCCUGUUAAGUCAGGCAACGAGCGAGACCCACGUCCACAGUUGCCAGCAUACCCUCCGGGGUGAUGGGUACACUGUGGAGGACGCCGCUGCUAAAGCGGAGGAAGGAGUGGGCAACGGUAGGUCAGUAUGCCCCGAAUCUCCCGGGCUACACGCGGGCUACAAUGGUUGGUACAAUGGGCAUCUACCCGAAAGGGGAAGGAAAUCUCUUAAAGCCAAUCGUAGUUCGGAUUGAGGGCUGCAACUCGCCCUCAUGAAGCUGGAAUCCGUAGUAAUCGCGUUUCAACAGAACGCGGUAAAUACGUCCUGCUCCUU
rnacentral:rRNA from 1 species